AAUCAGUUCGAUGCAUAUUGUUUUGGGCUGCAGGAGUCAUUUGUUUUUAGCGAGCAAAGAAGUGGGUUUUCGAAUUGCAAAGACAAGCAAAUCCAACUUUAAUAAUGUUCUUGGCUGGAAACAAGGCUGACUUGGAAGAGAAGAGAAAAGUAGGGACUGAGAAAAGUAGUCCUCACUUAGGAAGCAGAGAUCUAGCAGGGCAGAAAUGGUUAGGAAGCAGAGACGAUACGUAGUCUGCAGAAGGCAAGCAGAAAACAAAUAGUUAAGUCUUUGACCAUUGCGCAAUAGAUACACUGCUGAUUUCUCAUGGGACAAGUACACUCUUCAUGAAGGACCUUUUGAGGAGGUUGGAGCAAAGUGCUGAAACUUUUAUCAAUGGGGUAGAUUAGUUUAUGCUAUUGUUAAUAAACCGUAUUUCAUGGUUUGAGUAUGACU